CCUACGGGCGGCAGCAGUGAGGAAUAUUGGUCAAUGGACGAGAGUCUGAACCAGCCAAGUAGCGUGAAGGAUGACUGCCCUAUGGGUUGUAAACUUCUUUUAUAUGGGAAUAAAAUGUUCCACGUGUGGGAUUUUGUAUGUACCAUAUGAAUAAGGAUCGGCUAACUCCGUGCCAGCAGCCGCGGUAAGACGGAGGAUCCGAGGGUUAUCCGGAUUGAUUGGGUUUAAAGGGAGCGUAGGUGGGUUGUUAAGUCAGUUGUGAAAGUUUGCGGCUCAACCGGAAAAUUGCAGUUGAAACUGGCAGUCUUGAGUACAGUAGAGGGGGGCGGAAUUCGUGGUGUAGCGGUGAAAUGCUUAGAGAUCACGAAGAACUCCGAUUGCGAAGGCAGUUCACUGGACUGCAACUGACACUGAGGCGCGAAAGUGUGGGUAUCAAACAGGAUUAGAUACCCCGGUAGUC
rnacentral:rRNA from 1 species